rnacentral:rRNA from 1 species
UAGGGAAUCUUCCACAAUGGACGAAAGUCUGAUGGAGCAACGCCGCGUGAGUGAAGAAGGGUUUCGGCUCGUAAAACUCUAUCGUUAAAGAAGAACAUAUCUGAGAGUAACUGUUCAGGUAUUGACGGUAUUUAACCAGAAAGCCACGGCUAACUACGUGCUAG